GAUGAAGAACGUAGCGAAAUGCGAUAAGUAGUGUGAAUUGCAGAAUUCAGUGAAUCAUCGAAUCUUUGAACGCACAUUGCGCCCCCUGGUAUUCCGGGGGGCAUGCCUGUCCGAGCGUCAUUGCUGCCCUCAAGCACGGCUUGUGUGUUGGGCCUCCGCCCCCCGGCUCCCGGGGGGCGGGCCCGAAAGGCAGCGGCGGCACCGCGUCCGGUCCUCGAGCGUAUGGGGCUUCGUCACCCGCUCCGUAGGCCCGGCCGGCGCCCGCCGGCGACCCCCCUCAAUCUUUCCAGGUUGACCUCGGAUCAGGUAGGGAUACCCGCUGAACUUAAGCAUAUCAAUAAGCGGAGGA
rnacentral:misc_RNA from 1 species